UAUAAGUGUAAUUGUUAGUUUAUAUUAGAAUGUGUUUGUGUGUGUGUGUGCUUCACCUGUUUUAUACUUUUCCCAAUUUUCAGGGUCUCUUACCAAGAAAGAGAAUGCAUUGAGAGAAUAUGAAGAAAAACAACGUGUAAUUCUAGAAGCUCGGAGAGCAGAGGAAAAGAAAAAAGCGAACAGAGAGGAGAUGCUGUAUCUAGCAAAGGAAAGCGGAGUUCCAGUACCUCCAAAUUUCGAAGAGCAGUUUAAAUGAAUUUUCUCUGCUAGGGAUGAUUAAUUAAGUAUUGUUAAAGUAAACCAGUCAUUCUUUCUGUUUAGAGCAAACCACUAAAUACUAGAUGUUCCAUGAUUACUGCAAAUGUGGAUUAUUAGUGCAAAUGUAGGGAACAUGUGAAACUUAUAAUAAAUGUUUGUUUUUCAAAAGAAAAUGUUGAUCUGAUUAAACCUGCUUCUUGUAUAGA